rnacentral:rRNA from 1 species
GACGAACGCUGGCGGCGUGCUUAACACAUGCAAGUCGAACGGAAAGGCCCUGCUUUUGUGGGGUGCUCGAGUGGCGAACGGGUGAGUAACACGUGAGUAACCUGCCCUUGACUUUGGGAUAACUUCAGGAAACUGGGGCUAAUACCGGAUAGGAGCUCCUGCUGCAUGGUGGGGGUUGGAAAGUUUCGGCGGUUGGGGAUGGACUCGCGGCUUAUCAGCUUGUUGGUGGGGUAGUGGCUUACCAAGGCUUUGACGGGUAGCCCGCCUGAGAGGGUGACCGGCCACAUUGGGACUGCGAUACGGCCCAGACUCCUACGGGAGGCAGCAGUGGGGAAUAUUGCACAAUGGGCGGAAGCCUGAUGCAGCAACGCCGCGUGCGGGAUGCCGGCCUUCGGGUUGUAAACCGCUUUCGCAUGUGACGAAGCGUGAGUGACGGUACUGGGUAAAGAAGCACCGGCUAACUACGUG